rnacentral:lncRNA from 13 species
UCUUCUUUGUGACAAAGAGUGAUAUGCACUGAUUCACUGUGUGACCCUGUGCGAGUGACUCACCCUCUCUGUUCUGCGUAUCUGUAGAAAUGGGGGAACUCCGUGAGGUUAAUGUGAAGAUCAAUGAGAUAAUAUAUGUGAGAUGUCUGAGAACAGUGUCUGUCACCAAAACAACCUGGAUUUCUUCCCUGUUCUCAGUGAUACAACCCUUCUCCACGCUCGAUGGAGUCUUGCUCUGUCACCCAGGCUGGAGUGCAGUGGUGCCAUCUCAGUUCACUACAACCUCCACCUCCUGGAUUCAAGCGAUUUUCCUGCCUCAGCCACCUGAGUAGCUGGGAUUGCAGGCACACCCUACCACACCCGGCUAAUUUUUUUUUGUAUUUUUGGUAGAGAUAGGAUUUUGUCAUUUUGGCCAGGCUGGUCUCGAAAUCCUGGCCUCAGUUGAUCCACCCACCUUGGCUUCCCAAAAUGCUGUGAUUACAAGUAUGAGUCACUGUGCCUGGCCUGCAUCCUGAUAUUUUCAAUUCCAUUGUGUUGUAUUCUAUUUCCUUUCUAAAAACAAGAAUACUAGUUACGACCCUUCAAAUUGAUUUUUAUGACCCACUUACAGGUCUCAACCUAUGGGCUGAAAAAUACUGAUGUGGUCAACUUUAUAAAGAAACGUUCAGGAAUUGAUUCUAUAUUAAAAAGCAUUCUCCUUCUCCCUCAUUCUGUUUGUUUUUGUUGCUGUUGGUUCUGGCUUUUUAAGAUAUAGGGUCUCACUCUGUCACCUAGGCUGGUGUGCAGCUACAAUCUGCAUGACUAUAGCUCAGUGUAACCUUUAACUCCUGGGCUCAAGUGAUCCUCCUGCCUCAGCCUCCUGAGUAGCUGGGACUACAAGCAUGCAUUGCCAUGUCUAGCUUGACUGUUUAUUUUUGUAGAGAUAGAGUCUCCUUAUGCUUCCCUGGCUGAUCUCAAACUCCUGGGCUCAAGUGAGCCUCCCACCUCAGCCUCCCAAGUAUCUGGGACUCCAGGUGCCCCCCACCAUGCCUGGUUAAUUUUUAAUUUGUAGAGAGAGAGUUUCAUUAUGCUGCCCAGGCAGAUCUUGAACUUCUGGUCUUAAGCUAUCCUUCUGCCUCAGCCUCCCAAAAUGCUGAGAUUUCAGAUUACAG